rnacentral:snRNA from 1 species
UUCCUGUGGAGUUAUCCCAAGGCAUAUCUCAAAUCUUUCCCCUUUUACUAAAGAUUUCCGUGGGGAAAACCUAACAUAAUUAAGGUUCCAGUUAUAGAAUUCAAGAUGGGAAUGAAUUU